GACUGUCAGCAUUCCUUGACUUGUGAGUGCAUCACUUCAAUCUUCAACGAGAUCCCCUCUCUACCAUUUUCCAUUCUGCUCUGUGUCCCAGACGAGUACAUGAAGCUAGGAGGCUGACCUUAAAGGACUGCAUCACCGCAGAGAGAAGAAGCUGCCCAAGAAUGGAAAGGAAGAAAUAUAUCACAUCAUCUGUCUGUCCACAGGCUUUCCUUGGGGCUUAUGCAG